rnacentral:rRNA from 1 species
UACAGAGGUCUCAAGCGUUGUUCGGAUUCAUUGGGCGUAAAGGGUGCGUAGGUGGCGGGGUAAGUCUGAUGUGAAAUCCCGGAGCUCAACUCCGGAACUGCAUUGGAUACUGCCUUGCUUGAGCACUGGAGAGGAGACUGGAAUUUACGGUGUAGCAGUGAAAUGCGUAGAUAUCGUAAGGAAGACCAGUGGCGAAGGCGAGUCUCUGGACAGUUGCUGACACUGAGGCACGAAGGCCAGGGGAGCAAACGGG